rnacentral:rRNA from 1 species
AUCAAACUGAAAGAUUUCACCCAGAAUGCAUCCAAUUUUGUCUGAUUUUAGAAGCUAAGCAGAAUCGGGCCUAAUUAGUACCCAAAUAGGAGAUUCCCCAGGAUAUACUAGGGAUUUCUUGAUG